rnacentral:rRNA from 1 species
AGAGUUUGAUCCUGGCUCAGGACGAACGCUGGCGGCGUGCCUAAUACAUGCAAGUAGAACGCUGAAGAGAGGAGCUUGCUCUUCUUGGAUGAGUUGCGAACGGGUGAGUAACGCGUAGGUAACCUGCCUUGUAGCGGGGGAUAACUAUUGGAAACGAUAGCUAAUACCGCAUAACAAUGGAUGACACAUGUCAUUUAUUUGAAAGGGGCAAUUGUUCCUCUACAAGAUGGACCUGCGUUGUAUUAGCUAGUAGGUGAGGUAAUGGCUCACCUAGGCGACGAUACAUAGCCGACCUGAGAGGGUGAUCGGCCACACUGGGACUGAGACACGGCCCAGACUCCUACGGGAGGCAGCAGUAGGGAAUCUUCGGCAAUGGGGGCAACCCUGACCGAGCAACGCCGCGUGAGUGAAGAAGGUUUUCGGAUCGUAAAGCUCUGUUGUAAGUCAAGAACGGGUGUGAGAGUGGAAAGUUCACACUGUGACGGUAGCUUACCAGAAAGGGACGGCUAACUACGUGCCAGCAGCCGCGGUAAUACGUAGGUCCCGAGCGUUGUCCGGAUUUAUUGGGCGUAAAGCGAGCGCAGGCGGUUUGAUAAGUCUGAAGUUAAAGGCUGUGGCUCAACCAUAGUUCGCUUUGGAAACUGUCAAACUUGAGUGCAGAAGGGGAGAGUGGAAUUCCAUGUGUAGCGGUGAAAUGCGUAGAUAUAUGGAGGAACACCGGUGGCGAAAGCGGCUCUCUGGUCUGUAACUGACGCUGAGGCUCGAAAGCGUGGGGAGCGAACAGGAUUAGAUACCCUGGUAGUCCACGCCGUAAACGAUGAGUGCUAGGUGUUGGAUCCUUUCCGGGAUUCAGUGCCGCAGCUAACGCAUUAAGCACUCCGCCUGGGGAGUACGACCGCAAGGUUGAAACUCAAAGGAAUUGACGGGGGCCCGCACAAGCGGUGGAGCAUGAGGUUUAAUUCGAAGCAACGCGAAGAACCUUACCAGGUCUUGACAUCCCGAUGCUAUUUCUAGAGAUAGAAAGUUACUUCGGUACAUCGGUGACAGGUGGUGCAUGGUUGUCGUCAGCUCGUGUCGUGAGAUGUUGGGUUAAGUCCCGCAACGAGCGCAACCCCUAUUGUUAGUUGCCAUCAUUCAGUUGGGCACUCUAGCGAGACUGCCGGUAAUAAACCGGAGGAAGGUGGGGAUGACGUCAAAUCAUCAUGCCCCUUAUGACCUGGGCUACACACGUGCUACAAUGGUUGGUACAACGAGUUGCGAGUCGGUGACGGCGAGCUAAUCUCUUAAAGCCAAUCUCAGUUCGGAUUGUAGGCUGCAACUCGCCUACAUGAAGUCGGAAUCGCUAGUAAUCGCGGAUCAGCACGCCGCGGUGAAUACGUUCCCGGGCCUUGUACACACCGCCCGUCACACCACGAGAGUUUGUAACACCCGAAGUCGGUGAGGUAACCUUUUGGAGCCAGCCGCCUAAGGUGGGACAGAUGAUUGGGGUGAAGUCGUAACAAGGUA